CGCUUUCUCUAUCUCUCUCUCCCGCUGCUUCCUUGGUUUAGUGUUGCCUGUGUUGUGCCCGAAAGCAGUGUUGUAGAUUUUAUUGCGCUGUGCCCGUAAUCAUUGAGUGACAGCCCUGUGCGUGUGUUGCCGCGUCAGGAAAGGAGUGUUGCGUCUCCAGGAGGGUCUUCCCCUUCCGAGUGGCGUCCGCGCUUGCUUCCUUCGUCAGGCACCUCCCGCCUCACGCCUUGCUUCCUCCCGUCUCCCAGAGUCUACACACCUGCACUCUUGAGGUGAGUACACUUACUCUUUUCUUUCCUGGUAAUUGUUUUCACUGUGUUUUCUAUUGCACACAAUUGGAUAAGGUGUUAUUCAGAGGCAUUGAUAA